rnacentral:rRNA from 1 species
UGCAGAGGGUGCAAGCGUUAAUCGGAAUUACUGGGCGUAAAGCGUGCGUAGACGGUUAUGUAAGUCAGAUGUGAAAGCCCCGGGCUUAACCUGGGAAUGGCAUUUGAGACUGCAUAGCUAGGGUGCGGAAGAGGGAAGCGGAAUUUCCGGUGUAGCGGUGAAAUGCGUAGAUAUCGGAAGGAACACCAGUGGCGAAAGCGGCUUCCUGGUCCAGCACCGACGUUCAGGCACGAAAGCGUGGGGAGCAAACAGG